ensembl:lncRNA
CACUUCCUUCCUCUCUUUGAGGCUUUUUACAAUGCUUAAACAAAUCUGUGUUUUAAUUUCCCCAACAAGUGACCACGUCUGCGGUGUCGGAGCAUUAAGGGACCUUAACAAGAUAAUACCAUCAUCACAGCAGGAAGUUCUAGUGUUGGACCUCAGGCCUCGGGUAAGCAAGUUUAAUCCCCUCCUAGACCACACUCUCACCCCCAGACGGAUCUCCCAUCGCCCUGCCCCAACCCCCGGCCCCGCUCUAUGUGUAAAUAUAAUGGUUCUACCUCAGCAGCUCCCAGCCAGAACCCAAAUGGAACCUGACUCCAACCUUUAGUGUUUAUAUUCCCUCUCUGACUCUCUCUCCCUUUUUCAACUUCCCUCCUUCUCGCGUU